rnacentral:rRNA from 1 species
GACGAACGCUGGCGGCGUGCUUAACACAUGCAAGUCGAACGAAGAGGCGAACGGGUGAGUAACGCGUAAUCACCCUGCCCUUCAGAGGGGGACAACAGUUGGAAACGACUGCUAAUAUCGCAUACUGUAGGAGGGGAUUGCGUCUGAUUAGCUAGUUGGCGGGGUAACGGCCCCCCAAGGCGAUGAUCAGUAGCCGGUCUGAGAGGGUGAACGGCCACAAUGGGAAUGAGAAACGGCCCAGACUCCUACGGGAGGCAGCAGGGGGGAAACUUCCGCAAUGGACGAAAGUCUGACGGAGCAACGCCGCGUGAGUGAGGACGGCCUUCGGGUUGUAAAGCUCUGUUAAUCGGGACGCGGUACCGGAAUAGAAAGCCACGGCUAACUACGUGCCAGCAGCCGCGGUAAUUC